rnacentral:rRNA from 1 species
CCAUAGAAUCAUAAAACCUUAAAGCCAUUGAUCCUGGAAGCUAAGCAAGGCCAUGCCCAGUUAGUACUUGGAUGGGAGACCACCAACAAAUAGUAGGAGUUGUAGGCU